GUUAGGGCAACAUGCUGUUAUAACUGCAGACAAAAGACCAGGGGCAAGGGGGAGACAGGGAAGGGGCAGGGAUAGAGGGAACGGGGAGAGAGGAGAGAGGAAGAGGAGAGAUGGGGAGAAUAAGGAGCAAGAGAGGUAGGGGGAGGGAAGAUAAGCGGGAUAGAGAUGGGGAGAAUAAGGAGCAAGAGAGGUAGGGGGAGGGAAGAUAAGCGGGAUAGAGAUGGGGAGAAUAAGGAGCAAGAGAGGUAGGGGGAGGGAAGAUAAGCGGGAUAGAGAUGGGGAGAAUAAGGAGCAAGAGAGGUAGGGGGAGGGAAGAUAAGCGGGAUAGAGAUGGGGAGAAUAAGGAGCAAGAGAGGUAGGGGGAGGGAAGAUAAGCGGGAUAGAGAUGGGGAGAAUAAGGAGCAAGAGAGGUAGGGGGAGGGAAGAUAAGCGGGAUAGAGAUGGGGAGAAUAAGGAGCAAGAGAGGUAGGGGGAGGGAAGAUAAGCGGGAUAGAGAUGGGGAGAAUAAGGAGCAAGAGAGGUAGGGGGAGGGAAGAUAAGCGGGAUAGAGAUGGGGAGAAUAAGGAGCAAGAGAGGUAGGGGGAGGGAAGAUAAGCGGGAUAGAGAUGGGGAGAAUAAGGAGCAAGAGAGGUAGGGGGAGGGAAGAUAAGCGGGAUAGAGAUGGGGAGAAUAAGGAGCAAGAGAGGUAGGGGGAGGGAAGAUAAGCGGGAUAGAGAUGGGGAGAAUAAGGAGCAAGAGAGGUAGGGGGAGGGAAGAUAAGCGGGAUAGAGAUGGGGAGAAUAAGGAGCAAGAGAGGUAGGGGGAGGGAAGAUAAGCGGGAUAGAGAUGGGGAGAAUAAGGAGCAAGAGAGGUAGGGGGAGGGAAGAUAAGCGGGAUAGAGAUGGGGAGAAUAAGGAGCAAGAGAGGUAGGGGGAGGGAAGAUAAGCGGGAUAGAGAUGGGGAGAAUAAGGAGCAAGAGAGGUAGGGGGAGGGAAGAUAAGCGGGAUAGAGAUGGGGAGAAUAAGGAGCAAGAGAGGUAGGGGGAGGGAAGAUAAGCGGGAUAGAGAUGGGGAGAAUAAGGAGCAAGAGAGGUAGGGGGAGGGAAGAUAAGCGGGAUAGAGAUGGGGAGAAUAAGGAGCAAGAGAGGUAGGGGGAGGGAAGAUAAGCGGGAUAGAGAUGGGGAGAAUAAGGAGCAAGAGAGGUAGGGGGAGGGAAGAUAAGCGGGAUAGAGAUGGGGAGAAUAAG